GCGCUGGAGCUGGGUCAGUCCGCCGCUCACCCCGCGGCCGCACCUUCCCGCCUUCUCAGAUAAGGUCUCUUGAGCUGCUUUUUAUCUAAAGGAAGCAGAAGAAAACAGCGAAAUUCAAGAAAAAAAAUCUCCAAGGUGGUUGGCUUCUUGGAAAGCCUGAAUGGUGGCCAAGGACCACCUGGGCUCCCAAGGAGUGGAGGGAGGAGGGAUUCAGUUCCACAGGAAAUAAAUGGGAACAGCCCGGUGGAGAAGACAAUGACAACUGCAGGACAACACCUCAACCACUCCAGAAAACAGCCCUUGCUCCUCCUUCUGGCCUUUUCAUAUUUCCAAGUUACUGUUUUAAAGGAAAAAAAAAAAUGUGUGUGUGGCUGUUUAUUCUCUAAUGUGACAAAAACAUGACCAUCCGGGAGGAGAGGGGCUAACGGUGCAACCAACUGAGGCUGAAACACAGAUUCAGCUGAAAUGCAGCUUCUGCAGAGCGGGGGCCGGCUUCCCUCCUAGCCCUUCAGCUGCUCACCCUGUCCCUGCAGC
rnacentral:lncRNA from 1 species